CCCCUCCCUUUUGUAUAGGAAGACAGAGAUGUCAAUAACCCCAUGCCUAACCGAGGAGGCAAUGGACUAGUUCCUGGGGAUGACAGAUUCAAACCUGUGGUACCCUGGCCUCAUGUUGAAGGAGUAGAAGUGGACUUAGAAUCUAUUAGAAGAAAACACAAGGCCAAAAAUGAACAAGAGCACCAUGCUGGAGGAGAGAACCAGAGAGACAUAAUGCAGAGGCAGUAUCUCACUUUUAAGCCUCAGACAUUCACCUACCGGGAUCCUGUGCUACGCCCCGGGAUCCUCGGUAACUUUGAACCCAAAGAACCUGAGCCUCAUGGAGUGGUUGGUGGCCCUGGAGAGAAUGCCAAGCCAUUGGUUUUGGGACCAGAACUCAAACAUGCAGUUCAAGCCAGCAUUAAAGAGUUUGGAUUUAACAUGGUGGCAAGUGACAUGAUCUCCCUGGACCGCAGCGUCAAUGACCUACGGCAAGAAGAGUGCAAGUAUUGGCAUUACGAUGAAAACCUGCUCGUUUCCAGCGUUAUCAUUGUUUUCCAUAAUGAAGGAUGGUCAACCCUCAUGAGAACAGUCCACAGUGUCAUAAAAAGGACUCCAAGGAAAUAUUUAGCAGAAAUUGUAUUAAUUGAUGAUUUCAGCAAUAAAGAACACUUAAAAAAAAAGCUAGAUGACUAUAUUAAGCUGUGGAAUGGCCUAGUAAAGGUAUUUCGAAAUGAGAGAAGAGAAGGUUUAAUUCAAGCACGAAGUAUUGGUGCCCAGAAGGCUAAACUUGGGCAGGUUUUGAUAUACCUUGAUGCCCACUGUGAGGUGGCAGUUAACUGGUAUGCACCACUUGUAGCCCCCAUUUCUAAGGACAGAACUACAUGUACUGUGCCUCUAAUAGAUUACAUAGAUGGGAAUGAUUAUUCCAUUGAACCACAGCAAGGUGGGGAUGAAGAUGGUUUUGCCAGAGGGGCCUGGGACUGGAGUUUACUAUGGAAACGUAUUCCUCUAAGCCACAAGGAAAAGGCCAAAAGAAAACAUAAAACUGAACCUUAUCGAACCAUUUGCACUGUGCCGAUUAUAGAUGUCAUAAAUGGCAACACAUACGAAAUUGUACCCCAAGGGGGUGGUGACGAAGAUGGGUAUGCCCGAGGAGCAUGGGAUUGGAGUAUGCUCUGGAAACGGGUGCCUCUGACCCCUCAAGAGAAGAGAAUCAGAAAGACAAAAACUGAACCAUAUCGGUCCCCAGCCAUGGCUGGUGGAUUAUUUGCCAUUGAACGAGAGUUCUUCUUUGAACUGGGUCUGUAUGAUCCAGGUCUCCAGAUUUGGGGCGGUGAAAACUUUGAAAUCUCAUACAAGAUAUGGCAGUGUGGCGGCAAAUUACUGUUUGUCCCUUGUUCUCGUGUGGGACAUAUCUACCGUCUCGAGGGCUGGCAAGGGAAUCCUCCGCCCAUUAAUGUUGGGUCUUCUCCAACGAUGAAGAAUUAUGUUAGAGUUGUUGAGGUCUGGUGGGAUGAAUAUAAAGACUACUUCUAUGCCAGUCGUCCUGAAUCAAAGGCAUUAGCAUAUGGAGAUAUCUCUGAGCUGAAAAAAUUUCGAGAAGAUCACAACUGCAAAAGUUUCAAAUGGUUCAUGGAAGAGAUCGCUUAUGAUAUCACCUCACACUACCCUUUGCCACCCAAAAAUAUUGACUGGGGAGAAAUCAGAGGCUUUGAAUCUGCUUACUGCAUUGAUAGCAUGGGAAGGACAAACGGAGGCUUUGUUGAACUAGGACCCUGCCACAGGAUGGGAGGGAACCAGCUUUUCCGAAUCAACGAAGCUAAUCAACUCAUGCAGUAUGACCAGUGUUUGACAAAGGGGCCUGAUGGAUCAAAAAUCAUGAUUACACACUGUAACCUAAAUGAAUAUAAGGAAUGGCAGUACUUCAAGAACCUGCACAGGUUUACUCACAUUCCUUCCGGAAAGUGCUUAGACCGCUCAGAUGUCCUCCAUCAAGUGUUCCUCUCCAAUUGUGACUCCAGUAAAAUGACUCAGAAGUGGGAAAUGAAUAACAUCCACAGUGUUUAGAAAGAAUAAAAGAAACCAAUAACCUACCUACUGACACGUAAAUUUUCACAGGACUGAAAACCGCCUGAAACCUGCUGCAACUAUUAUUAACUCUGUACAGCUCCAAACCCAGCACCUCCUGAUAGAUGGGGAAACUGAAAGGUUACAUGACUUGUCUGAUGUUACUGAACCAAAAAGAAACAGAGCCCAACUCUGACCUGAUUCCCAGGUAUAAGCUUUAUCACUUUACUCUUAAUUUCUUUCAUAACCUUGUUUUCCCUUUUGUAUGUCUUUUUUUAAUUUUUUCUUUGUAUAAGCGAUCCCAUCUUGAUUAGAAAAAAUGUGGAGAAUUAAAGAAUAGCACAUAAAUUGGAA